CGGGGUGCAGCAGGCGCGAAAACUUUGCACUACUCGAAAGUGUGACAGGGCUAUCCCGAGUGCCAUCCGCUGAGGAAGGCUUUUACCCAGUCUAGAACGCUGGGGGAAUAAGGAGAGGGCAAGUCUGGUGUCAGCCGCCGCGGUAAUACCAGCUCUCCGAGUGGUGUGGAUGUUUAUUGGGCCUAAAGCAUCCGUAGCUGGCUAAGUUAGUCCCUUGUUAAAUCCACCGAAUUGAUCGUUGGAUUGCGGGGGAUACUGCUUGGCUAUGGGACGAGAGAGGCAGACGGUAUUUCCGGGGUAGGGGUGAAAUCCUAUAAUCCCGGGAAGACCACCAGUGGCGGAGGCUGUCUGCUAGAACGCGCCCGACGGUGAGGGAUGAAAGCUGGGGGAGCGAACCGGAUUAGAUACCCGGGUAGUCCCAGCUGUAAACGAUGCAGGCUAGGUGUUUGGACGGCCACGUGCCGUUCUAGUGCCGCAGGGAAGCUGUUAAGCCUGCCGCCUGGGGAGUACGAUCGCAAGAUUGAAACUUAAAGGAAUUGGCGGGGGAGCAC
rnacentral:rRNA from 1 species